UUUCCGUAGGUGGACCUGCGGAAGGAUCAUUAUUGUAUAACCGAGGUGCAAGGUCUUUCGCUGACCCGAAACGUCGUGCACGCCCGAGUGCCCUCACACGCAUCCAUCUCACCCCUAUCUGCACCACCGCGUGGGUCCCCCUUUGGCGUGUUCGGAGGGGGGCUUACGUUUUCACACAAACUUUGUAUGCAGUGUAGAAUGUAUUUUUUGUUUUUGCGAUCACGCAAUCAAUACAACUUUCAACAACGGAUCUCUUGGCUCUC
rnacentral:misc_RNA from 1 species